UGACUGCGUACCUUUUGUAUAAUGGGUCAGCGACUUAUAUUCUGUAGCAAGGUUAACCGUAUAGGGGAGCCGGAGGGAAACCGAGUCUUAAUUGGGCGUUAAGUUGCAGGGUAUAGACCCGAAACCCGGUGAUCUAGCCAUGGGCAGGUUGAAGGUUGGGUAACACUAACUGGAGGACCGAACCGACUAAUGUUGAAAAAUUAGCGGAUGACCUGUGGCUGGGGGUGAAAGGCCAAUCAAACCGGGAGAUAGCUGGUUCUCCCCGAAAGCUAUUUAGGUAGCGCCUCGUGAAUUCAUCUCCGGGGGUAGAGCACUGUUUCGGCUAGGGGGCCAUCCCGGCUUACCAACCCGAUGCAAACUGCGAAUACCGGAGAAUGUUAUCACGGGAGACACACGGCGGGUGCUAACGUCCGUCGUGAAGAGGGAAACAACCCAGACCGCCAGCUAAGGUCCCAAAGUCAUGGUUAAGUGGGAAACGAUGUGGGAAGGCCCAGACAGCCAGGAUGUUGGCUUAGAAGCAGCCAUCAUUUAAAGAAAGCGUAAUAGCUCACUGGUCGAGUCGGCCUGCGCGGAAGAUGUAACGGGGCUAAACCAUGCACCGAAGCUGCGGCAGCGACACUCAGGUGUUGUUGGGUAGGGGAGCGUUCUGUAAGCCUGCGAAGGUGGCCUGUGAGGGUUGCUGGAGGUAUCAGAAGUGCGAAUGCUGACAUAAGUAACGAUAAAGCGGGUGAAAAGCCCGCUCGCCGGAAGACCAAGGGUUCCUGUCCAACGUUAAUCGGGGCAGGGUGAGUCGACCCCUAAGGCGAGGCCGAAAGGCGUAGUCGAUGGGAAACGGGUUAAUAUUCCCGUACUUGGUGUUACUGCGAAGGGGGGACGGAGAAGGCUAUGUUGGCCGGGCGACGGUUGUCCCGGUUUAAGCGUGUAGGUGUGUGUUCCAGGUAAAUCCGGUUCACUUUAACACUGAGGCGUGACGACGAGGCACUACGGUGCUGAAGCAACAAAUGCCCUGCUUCCAGGAAAAGCCUCUAAGCAUCAGGUAACAUCAAAUCGUACCCCAAACCGACACAGGUGGUCAGGUAGAGAAUACCAAGGCGCUUGAGAGAACUCGGGUGAAGGAACUAGGCAAAAUGGUGCCGUAACUUCGGGAGAAGGCACGCUGACAUGUAGGUGAAGUGAUUUACUCACGGAGCUGAAGUCAGUCGAAGAUACCAGCUGGCUGCAACUGUUUAUUAAAAACACAGCACUGUGCAAACACGAAAGUGGACGUAUACGGUGUGACGCCUGCCCGGUGCCGGAAGGUUAAUUGAUGGGGUCAGCGCAAGCGAAGCUCCUGAUCGAAGCCCCGGUAAACGGCGGCCGUAACUAUAACGGUCCUAAGGUAGCGAAAUUCCUUGUCGGGUAAGUUCCGACCUGCACGAAUGGCGUAAUGAUGGCCAGGCUGUCUCCACCCGAGACUCAGUGAAAUUGAACUCGCUGUGAAGAUGCAGUGUACCCGCGGCAAGACGGAAAGACCCCGUGAACCUUUACUAUAGCUUGACACUGAACAUUGAGCCUUGAUGUGUAGGAUAGGUGGGAGGCUUUGAAGUGUGGACGCCAGUCUGCAUGGAGCCGACCUUGAAAUACCACCCUUUAAUGUUUGAUGUUCUAACGUGGACCCGUGAUCCGGGUUGCGGACAGUGUCUGGUGGGUAGUUUGACUGGGGCGGUCUCCUCCUAAAGAGUAACGGAGGAGCACGAAGGUUGGCUAAUCCUGGUCGGACAUCAGGAGGUUAGUGCAAUGGCAUAAGCCAGCUUGACUGCGAGCGUGACGGCGCGAGCAGGUGCGAAAGCAGGUCAUAGUGAUCCGGUGGUUCUGAAUGGAAGGGCCAUCGCUCAACGGAUAAAAGGUACUCCGGGGAUAACAGGCUGAUACCGCCCAAGAGUUCAUAUCGACGGCGGUGUUUGGCACCUCGAUGUCGGCUCAUCACAUCCUGGGGCUGAAGUAGGUCCCAAGGGUAUGGCUGUUCGCCAUUUAAAGUGGUACGCGAGCUGGGUUUAGAACGUCGUGAGACAGUUCGGUCCCUAUCUGCCGUGGGCGCUGGAGAACUGAGGGGGGCUGCUCCUAGUACGAGAGGACCGGAGUGGACGCAUCACUGGUGUUCGGGUUGUCAUGCCAAUGGCACUGCCCGGUAGCUAAAUGCGGAAGAGAUAAGUGCUGAAAGCAUCUAAGCACGAAACUUGCCCCGAGAUGAGUUCU
rnacentral:rRNA from 1 species